GUGCUCACUUUGGCAACACAUAUACUAAAAUUGGAAUGAUACAGAGAUUAGUGUGGCUCCUGUGGAAGGAUGACAUGCAAAUUCAUAAAGUAUUCCAUUAAAAA